rnacentral:rRNA from 1 species
CACGUAGGGCGCGAGCGUUGUCCGGAAUUAUUGGGCGUAAAGAGCUCGUAGGCGGCCUGUUGCGUCCGCUGUGAAAGCCCGGGGCUUAACCCCGGGUCGGCAGUGGAUACGGGCAGGCGUAGAGGUAGGUAGGGGAGAAGUGGAACUUCCCGGUGUAGCGGUGAAAUGCGCAGAUAUCGGGAGGAACACCGGUGGCGAAGGCGGUUCUCUGGGCCUGUACUGGCGCUGAGGAGCGAAAGCGUGGGGAGCGAACAGGAUUGAGAU